UAGGGAAUCUUCGGCAAUGGACGAAAGUCUGACCGAGCAACGCCGCGUGAGUGAAGAAGGUUUUCGGAUCGUAAAACUCUGUUGUUAGAGAAGAACAAGGACGUUAGUAACUGAACGUCCCCUGACGGUAUCUAACCAGAAAGCCACGGCUAACUACGUGCCAGCAGCCGCGGUAAUACGUAGGUGGCAAGCGUUGUCCGGAUUUAUUGGGCGUAAAGCGAGCGCAGGCGGUUUCUUAAGUCUGAUGUGAAAGCCCCCGGCUCAACCGGGGAGUGUCAUUGGAAACUGGGAGAAUUGAGUGCAGAAGAGGAGAGUGGAAUUCCAUGUGUAGCGGUGAAAUGCGUAGAUAUAUGGAGGAACACCAGUGGCGAAGGCGGCUCUCUGGUCUGUAACUGACGCUGAGGCUCGAAAGCGUGGGGAGCAAACAGG
rnacentral:rRNA from 1 species